CUAACAUUUAUUGAGCAGCUAUAGGUGUAUAUGAACUAACGUUUGAGCACCUACAGGUAUGUAUGUCUGGCCUUGUGCAAGGAGCUUUCAUCCGCGUGUUCCACUUGAUCGUUUCAUCAACCCUGUGAGGUAGGUAUCAUCCCCGUGUUUGUCAGGUGAGGACUGUCAAGCUCAGAAAGAUUAGGUCAUUUGUCCAAAGAUAGAGAGCUGGGUACAAAGCUGAGCCUGAGUUACGAAGUUUUAGACCCCACCCCUGCGCUCUCCCGUGCCUCCCAGGAGGAAAGCAGGGGCUCAGACUGAAGCCACAGCCCUUACACUCGCUUCCACCCCCUGCGUCCCCCCCCACCCCCCAGGUGGGUGCAGUCAGCUGAGGAAAUUAGGACAUAAAUAAAAAUAAAUAGGGCCAAGUCCCCAGCAUCAAGGGUCUGCCCUCUGUUACUGACCCUGUGUGAGGUCAUUAUUCCUCCAGAGCUGCCGGGUGAGGGAGCUGUGUGGGACCUACCAGGGGAAAAACUGACGAUGCCUACUAAAGGCUGGAGUGGGUGGGCUCAACAGGCCCCUCUAGGUCACGUGGAUUCAACAACAGAGUAUCCGGAACAGGCUGCACUGCGGGUACAGUCACUAUCCUCCUCCUUCUAUUCAUUUUACCAGGGUUGUUAUCCAAGAGGGUUUCAACAUCAGGAGAACAUACAGCUCUGUGAGGCACAUGUCCCAGGACUGUCAUCUCCCCUAUCCUACUGUCCCAAAGGCCUACAGACGCCAGCUCCUACUGCAAACUGGGUGGUUCCCAUCAUCCAUCCAGAGCCACCUUGCCCAGGAGGAGCUGCACCUUCCCCGCCUUGCUGAUCUGGCCUGUCAGCUCAGCCAAGGUACAAGCUCCCUACCAGUUCUGAUUUCCCCGGGCAUGCCUGCUCUUCCCCCUGAUUUAUUUUUGCUCUCUUCCUCCGUCUCCAAAGACUUGAUGUCUUGAGUGGGAAGCUGGCCCAGGAGGGCAUCCAGCAGUUGGAGCAACAGCGGCUUCUCAUCUUUGGCUGAGCCUCCACCCCUCGCAUGGUGAUUUCACCCCUGACAACCCAGCCCGGGUCUCCACCUAAGCCCAGUAGAGACUGUGAGUGACUGGAGAGGAAGUGGAAGAUCUUCAUCACUUCAGUCAAUAGGAAGGCUGGGCGUGUGUACGGAUAGGAGCAGCCAUCUCUCCUCUCCAAUUCGCGGUGCUCACUCUGCCGAUAUAAUCAUGCAUGUGGGAUACUGGAUAACUCCACAUAUACGAAGGACCUGAAAUAAUCAAAUACAUGGACACAGAAGGCCAGGAAAGAAGAGGGAAACCCCAUCAGCAACCAACCCGCUGAAACGACCUGGAGCCGCACCCUCUCCCUGACCGGGGCAGGGCGCAAAACAAGGCAAUGGAAGAGCAGCUUCAGGCUGAGUCAUAAGAAAUCCAGAGCAGACUGGAGAGAUGGGGGUGGAGGAGAUAGUGGCUUCAACUGCCGCGAGGAUGGUUCCACGGGCUGCAAGGGAGGGGCGGAUGCCAUAGAAGACAACUGCGGGAUUCCGAGUGCCUCUCUGAGGCGUCUUCUCCUCGCAGAGAUCUUGCUGACUCCUGCUCUUGGCCUCAGACCAUAGAAGAUUUCAAAGGGAAACCCCGCAGGAUAUCAAGGUAUCCCGGUCAUCCGCACAAGCUCCUCAUUGUGACUCAGGGAACAAGGCUCUGUUGUGCCCCCGCGAAUGUGAAUUCAGCAGAGUUUGGUGCAAAGAGGAGAGGAGAAAGCUGUAAACCACGGGUGGUGUGCCCCGGGCGUUGCCCAAAUCUGCAGUCUUCCUUACGGCUUCGCAGGAAAGCCAGGGACACUGCAGUCUGCCCUACGAGCACCAUGGGCUCCUGGCUGGGUGGGAACUU